ensembl:lncRNA
GAGAGAGAGACACUGCCUAUUGCUACAUUCUUUUCCCACACUCAGAUCAUAGCAUAGAUAGAGUCCAGGGGGAAAUGCAGUUUUAAUUAAGGGAUAAAAUCAGGGUCUGUGUGCUUAGGGUGGGUGGGUUUAAAGUGCUCUGUGAGUUCAAAGUUCACAGUUCAGUUACCCACCCCUCCCCAAAAAAAGUGCAGUAGUUUUUUAAAUGCAAGAUGGCGACGAGGCAGUAAGAGGAGGAGGUACUGACACAGGCUGAGUGGGAGAGAGGCAGAGAGCAGCACUUCAAGAUUUUCAACUCUUCCCCAGAUCAGGAUGCACAGUAACAGAGAUCCAAAGCAGCGUCAAUAAACCACGUACUUUGAAAAGGUGCUGGGCCUCUGAAAGGGGUUGGAACACCUGCAGUAGUGAACACUAACUGGUAGGUACCUAUGCUUUACCUCUGAGCACUUUAAUCUUUCUGGGAGGACAAUUAGUCAUACCAAUGAUAGAGCAGUUUACCUUUCUCUGUUUGUCAUUUAAAA